rnacentral:rRNA from 1 species
GAUGAACGCUGGCGGCGUGCCUAAUACAUGCAAGUCGAGCGAACGGACGAGAAGCUUGCUUCUCUGAUGUUAGCGGCGGACGGGUGAGUAACACGUGGAUAACCUACCUAUAAGACUGGGAUAACUUCGGGAAACCGGAGCUAAUACCGGAUGAUAUUUUGAACCGCACGGUUCAAAAGUGAAAGACGGUCUUGCUGUCACUUAUAGAUGGAUCCGCGCUGCAUUAGCUAGUUGGUAAGGUAACGGCCUACCAAGGCAACGAUGCAUAGCCGACCUGAGAGGGUGAUCGGCCACACUGGAACUGAGACACGGUCCAGACUCCUACGGGAGGCAGCAGUAGGGAAUCUUCCGCAAUGGGCGAAAGCCUGACGGAGCAACGCCGCGUGAGUGAUGAAGGUCUUCGGAUCGUAAAACUCUGUUAUUAGGGAAGAACAUAUGUGUAAGUAACUGUGCACAUCUUGACGGUACCUAAUCAGAAAGCCACGGCUAACUACGUG